UUUACAAUGGAGAGUUUGAUCCUGGCUCAGGAUGAACGCUAGCGGCAGGCCUAAUACAUGCAAGUCGAACGGAUGUCCUUCGGGGCAUUAGUGGCGUACGGGUGCGUAACGCGUAAACAAUCUACC
rnacentral:rRNA from 1 species